rnacentral:rRNA from 1 species
ACGGAAGGCAGCAGUGGGGAAUAUUGGGCAAUGGGCGCAAGCCUGACCCAGCGACGCCGCGUGAGGGAAGAAGGUCUUCGGAUUGUAAACCUCUUUCAGCAGGGAAGAAGCAAGUGACGGUACCUGCAGGAGAAGUCACGGCUAACUACGUGCCAGCAGCCGCGGUAAUACGUAGGUGGCGAGCGUUAUCCGGAAUUACUGGGUGUAAAGGGUGUGUAGGCGGAGAAGCAAGUCAGGCGUGAAAUUUAUGAGCUCAACUCAUAAACUGCGCUUGAAACUGUUUCCCUUGAGAGUGGGAGAGGUAAACGGAAUUCCUGGUGUAGUAGUGAAAUGCGUAGAUAUCAGGAGGAACACCGGUGGCGAAGGCGGUUUACUGGACCACAACUGACGCUGAGACACGAAAGCGUGGGGAGCAAACAGGAUUAGAUACCCUGGUA